AGAGACCGGCGCACGGGUGCGUAACGCGUAUGCAAUCUACCUUUUACAGAGGGAUAGCCCAGAGAAAUUUGGAUUAAUACCUCAUAGUAUAGCUGAAUCGCAUGAUUCUACUAUUAAAGUCACAACGGUAAAAGAUGAGCAUGCGUCCCAUUAGCUAGUUGGUAAGGUAACGGCUUACCAAGGCUACGAUGGGUAGGGGUCCUGAGAGGGAGAUCCCCCACACUGGUACUGAGACACGGACCAGACUCCUACGGGAGGCAGCAGUGAGGAAUAUUGGACAAUGGGCGCAAGCCUGAUCCAGCCAUGCCGCGUGCAGGAUGACGGUCCUAUGGAUUGUAAACUGCUUUUAUACGAGAAGAAACACUGCUUCGUGAAGCAGCUUGACGGUAUCGUAAGAAUAAGGAUCGGCUAACUCCGUGCCAGCAGCCGCGGUAAUACGGAGGAUCCAAGCGUUAUCCGGAAUCAUUGGGUUUAAAGGGUCCGUAGGCGGUUUAAUAAGUCAGUGGUGAAAGCCCAUCGCUCAACGGUGGAACGGCCAUUGAUACUGUUAAACUUGAAUUAUUAGGAAGUAACUAGAAUAUGUAGUGUAGCGGUGAAAUGCUUAGAGAUUACAUGGAAUACCAAUUGCGAAGGCAGGUUACUACUAAUGGAUUGACGCUGAUGGACGAAAGCGUGGGUAGCGAACAGGAUUAGAUACCCUGGUAGUCCACGCCGUAAACGAUGGAUACUAGCUGUUGGGAGCAAUCUCAGUGGCUA
rnacentral:rRNA from 1 species